rnacentral:rRNA from 1 species
AUCGUAUAUUAAAGUUGUUGCAGUUAAAAAGCUCGUAGUUGAACCUUGGGCCUGGCUGGCCGGUCCGCCUCACCGCGCGCACUGGUCCGGCCGGGCCUUUCCCUCUGGGGAACCUCAUGCCCUUCACUGGGUGUGCUGGGGAACCAGGACUUUUACUUUGAACAAAUCAGAUCGCUUAAAGAAGGCCUAUGCUCGGAUACAUUAGCAUGGAAUAAUAGAAUAGGACGCGUGGUUCUAUUUUGUUGGUUUCUAGGACCGCCGUAAUGAUUAAUAGGGACAGUCGGGGGCAUCAAUAUUCAAUUGUCAGAGGUGAAAUUCUUGGAUUUAUUGAAGACUAACUACUGCGAAAGCAUUUGCCAAGGAUGUUUUCAUUAAUCAGGAACGAAAGUUACGGGAUCGAAGACGAUCAGAU